UACUGUAUCAAAGUUCAAGAGCCUGUGACACAGCAUGCGCUCAUAUGAAUAAAAUUGUAACCAAGUUCACGUUUUAAGCUUUUCGGACAGACAGACAGGGAAAAAAGGGGGAUUGCAAGAAAAAGUUGUGAAUUAUGAUAGCGGCGAAGUAGGCAGUACAUCCUAAACAGAGCGUGUUCUGGAAGUGAGACCUGAAGUGAAUUUAAAGUUUAGACUUUUGAUUGGACUUUAGUCCCGUGAUGGUUUGGCGUCAAACUGAAUGACGUUGUAUCCUGCCAGAGACAUUAAGGAAAAAGAGACAGCUUCAUAAGAAGAUGCACUCCCUCUGUCUCUUUGGUCUGCGCUCAGUUCUUGAGAAACCUGCAGAGUUUCGCAAUCCACGAAGCCACCAUGAAGUUGCACGCAAAGCAGACUUUCUUCUUCUUGAUAUCCGUUUUGUUCCUCUGUGCUGCUGCAGAUCUUCAGGCACCUGUAGUCCACACAAAGCUCGGGAGCCUGAGAGGUGAGUAUGUGAGUGUGAAAGGGAAGGAGACUGGUGUCCAUGCCUACUUGGGUGUCCCAUUUGCCAAACCACCCCUCGGCCCUUCCUUGAGACUGGCUCACCUCAGCCUGUAGAAGGGUGGGAAGGAGUAAGAGAUGCCACUAAACAGCCACCAAUGUGCAUUCAGUCUAAAGAAGCUGUUUUGGAUCUGGCUGAUAAACUCGGUGCAGUCCUGGCAGAAAUACCAGACAUCUCUGAAGACUGUCUUUACCUCAACAUUUACAUGCCUGCAAACAGAGCUAAUGAUGCCAAGCUUCCAGUCAUGGUCUGGAUCCAUGGUGGGGGCUUUAUGCUGGGAUCAGCUUCAACAUAUGAUGGCUCUGCCUUGGCUGCUUACCAGGAUGUGGUUGUGGUUCUGAUCCAGUAUCGCUUAGGACUUCUGGGUUUUCUCAGGUAAAUAAACUCCAUCCGUAAUCUCUCCA